rnacentral:rRNA from 1 species
GAUGAACGCUGGCGGCGUGCCUAAUACAUGCAAGUCGAGCGAACGGACGAGAAGCUUGCUUCUCUGAUGUUAGCGGCGGACGGGUGAGUAACACGUGGAUAACCUACCUAUAAGACUGGGAUAACUUCGGGAAACCGGAGCUAAUACCGGAUAAUAUUUUGAACCGCAUGGUUCAAAAGUGAAAGACGGUCUUGCUGUCACUUAUAGAUGGAUCCGCGCUGCAUUAGCUAGUUGGUAAGGUAACGGCUUACCAAGGCAACGAUGCAUAGCCGACCUGAGAGGGUGAUCGGCCACACUGGAACUGAGACACGGUCCAGACUCCUACGGGAGGCAGCAGUAGGGAAUCUUCCGCAAUGGGCGAGAGCCUGACGGAGCAACGCCGCGUGAGUGAUGAAGGUCUUCGGAUCGUAAAACUCUGUUAUUAGGGAAGAACAGAUGUGGAAGUAACUGUGCACAUCUUGACGGUACCUAAUCAGAAAGCCACGGCUAACUACGUG